AGAGUAUUGUACCACAAUCCCAGUUGUUUGCAAUAAAUGGCUUGUCUUGAUUUUCCAGAUUAUAGCUAGAAGAUUGCCUCAAACGAUGAAUUGUAGAAUGGAGCAGGAUGUCUGUGUGUCUGCGUCUUCACCCGGGUUUUUCAGGCCACUGUGUCUGUGAACUUAGCUCUAUGAAAGCAAGAAGCCUAUGAGAAUUCCGCCAGGGGCAAGCCUGGCCUUGGCGCUUCACUGUCUUAGCGUGUGUCUGGCCCUCCCAUUCCUGGCCAAGGCCCACAGCCACCACAGAUGACCUGCUGAUGCCUCUGCUGAAAUCCGUGGCCACUGGCCAACAGCUUGACAAGAGUGUCAGCUCCCUCCCGAGACGAAAUCAGAGGAAAACGCCUCUAGUUUCUAAGAAGCACACAGGGAGCCACUUCUUUACCGCUAGCUCCUGCAGGAUCUGUGGGAUCCUGCAGGUGCUGGUUUGCCUCCUGAGCCCUGUCCUAAGGACACUCUGCACAUCGCCUCCUGGUGAGUGAGCUGGGGGACUUCUUCUGGAUACAUCUGAAUCACUUCAUUCGCACCUCAAGGCUCUCUGGGAGGAAAGCUGGUGCAGGAACUAGUGUCUUAGGAUUAUGAGGGAGGACGUGGAGGCAGAGGUGAGGACGGAGCUAAAGCCAAGCUGCAGGGAGCCUUUGGGCAGGAAGCGGAGCUUCGGGGUCCUAGGCAUGUCCUCUCACUCUCUCUCAUUGCCCCUAGCAAUGAAGAGGUGCGUGUCUCCGAGAUACGAGGUGCUCUUCUCUCUAGCAAUGUAAGAUCUGUUGAAAAGAUGAGACAUAUCUACAAAACCUGACCAUGAGUGGGUGACUGAGAAAGGCCUUGGGAGGUGCCGAGAAGGAGCAUUACAGAAGGAGGCUGUGUCCUGUGAUCAGGGAGAUUUUUUGAAAGCAAGGGGAUUAGAUCUGAGCACCAAAGAUGGGAGAGGAAUUUGAAAAGCUGGGAUGGAGGGAAGCACACAUUCUCGUUGCAAAGUUUGUAAGACAAGAUGCUGAGGAAGGUAAGCACACGCAGGCUCUGAAGAG